rnacentral:rRNA from 1 species
GACGAACCGUGCGAACGUUGUUCGGAAUCACUGGGCUUAAAGGGCGCGUAGGCGGUCAGUCGCGUCUGCUGUGAAAACUCGGGGCUUAACUCCGGGCCUGCAGUGGGUACGGGCUGACUAGAGUGCGGUAGGGGAGACUGGAAUUCCUGGUGUAGCGGUGAAAUGCGCAGAUAUCAGGAGGAACACCGGUGGCGAAGGCGGGUCUCUGGGCCGUAACUGACGCUGAGGAGCGAAAGCAUGGGGGAGCGAACAGG